rnacentral:lncRNA from 1 species
AACAGUAACGGAUAGUUACGACACCACGCUAUUAUCGGCUGUUACAACCUUUUAAGUUUUAACAGUUGACUUAUACAUCAGUUACAACUUUGCUAAAAGUAUCAAUGCUGUCAAAUCUAACGUUUCUGGUCGUUCUGCUGUUUGAUGAGACAUAAAAAGAUGCCACUAUGUCUAAGGAGGGGCCAGUGUUAUUACUGGAUGUGACUAUAGUUUCCGGAUGUAUCUGUGUUUAUUCCCGGAUGUUCAGAUUUGACUUUAACUGUGCCUGUCUUGAGAUGCCACUAUGUCUAAGGAAGAGCCAGUGUUAAUACUGGAUGAGACUAUAUUUUACGGGUGUAUCUGUGUUUAUUCCCGGAUGUUCGGAUUUAACUUUACCUGUGCCUGUCUAGUGAAUCCCACUCUGUCUAAGGAGGUGGACAGUUUUAUUACUGGAUAUGAUUAUAUUUUCCGAGUGUAUCUGUGUUUAUUCCUGGAUGUUCGGAUUUGAAUUUAACUGUGCCUGUCUUGAGAUGCCACUAUGUCUAAGGAGGGGACAGUGUUAUUACUGGAUGUGACUGUAUUUUCCAGGGAGAGGGGUAAAUUAAACAGAUGCGUGACCAGAAUUGUUCUGGGUCCAGAUGAAUGUUUGCCCACCUACUGGCCGGAAGAAUUAUGAAAGUGGUGUGUGGUAGACUUUGGCCAGUCUAGUGGGAAAGGACCUGCAACAGUAUAGUGUUGAAAGCCCCUGCUCCCUAAAAUGUAUGCCCGUUGCAGAAGGAUAACGCACAACGAUUGGCUGAUGGCGACGACAGUCUCCAGAACAUUGGGGAACUGGGCACAAUACUGGCUCCAGAACGUUGGGGAACUGGGCACGAUACUGGCUUUCAACAAAGUAUUAUUUCUGAAGAUCUUUGGGUGUCCACAUUAAAUGCAUAUGGUGAUACGACGAAGGAUCCCCAGUGUUCGUGUCUGAAAGAUACUUUAUCACCAACAGUCACAACAGCCAUCAGCACCAUGGUAUUGUAGCUGACGACGUCGACGAUGAGCUAGGAAUCUGUUUACAGUUUACAGGUUUACAGAAAAAGGAGGAACAGCCAGUUGUCAAGUAUGAUCACAACACGAACAUCUACAUGUACGUCAACACAACCACCUACGUCAACACCAACACCGUUGCCGACACUAGCAAUGGCGUCAACACAACAACCUACGGCAAUACCUCCACCAACACCUACGACGUAAUCAUAACCAACAAUGACGUCAAUCGCAUCUACAAGACCAUCGUUUUCUAAUAAAACAGCCUUUACCUGGAAAAGACGAACAAAAGCUUAACAAAAUAUCAAUGACGGCCCAGAUCACGUCAACAGAGAUGUUAACCCUAAUAACACUGAUGCCAUUAUUAACCCUUCUGUUGUUAACAACAAAAUACUGAUGACAGUUGGCAACAUUUAUGCGCAUCUACCACACAACACUGUACAGUAUGUUAACACGUCAUCCAGUGUUGAUGGAGACCACGUGCACCCCCACGUCAACGAACCGACACAAACACUGCUGGACGAUUCAUAGUCACCCAAGACUGAGUGAAACAUUUUGGACACUCGCCAUUUAAUAUGGGGAAAAGAGAUAAAUAAAUAUAUUAAAUGUGUGUAUUAGUCCCUUCCGGUCCAACCGAAAAGGAUUAUAGGUUUCGCCUACGUCCUUCUGUCCGUCUGUCUAUCCCACAUAGUUUUCUAGAUGGGUUUUUUUUUUUUUUUUGGGGGGGGGGGGGG